rnacentral:rRNA from 1 species
UCUAUGGCUAAUACAUGCGCAAAUGCCUCCUUCUCUGGAGGGGCUGUGUUUAUUAGAUACAAAACCAACCCACUUUUGUGGAGUCCUGGUGAUUCAUAGUAACCGAACGGAUCGCAUUUGGCUUCGGCCCGCGAUAGAUCUUUCAAGUUUCUGACCUAUCAGCUUUCGACGGUAGGGUAUUGGCCUACCGUGGCAGUGACGGGUAACGGGGAAUUAGGGUUCGAUUCCGGAGAGGGAGCCUGAGAAACGGCUACCACAUCUAAGGAAGGCAGCAGGCGCGCAAAUUACCCAAUGAAAACAGUUUCGAGGUAGUGACGAGAAAUAACAAUACAGGGCAUUUUUUGCUCUGUAAUUGGAAUGAUGGGAAUGUAAAACCCUUCCAGAGUAACAAUUGGAGGGCAAGUCUGGUGCCAGCAGCCGCGGUAAUUCCAGCUCCAAUAGUGUAUAUUAGAGUUGUUGCAGUUAAAAAGCUCGUAGUUGGAUUUCUGCUGUGGUCAUCCGGUACCGCCCGUACGGGUGCGCACCUGGUUUGGCUGCGGCUUUCUUCCUGUAGCCAUCCGCGCUUAAUUGCGUGUGUUGUGUUGCGGAACUUUUACUUUGAGAAAAAUAGAGUGUUUCAAGCAGGCUUGUCGCCCUGAAUACUUCAGCAUGGAAUAAUAGGAUAGGACCUUGGUUCUAUUUUGUUGGUUUCUAGGACCAAGGUAAUGAUUAAUAGGGACAGUUGGGGGCAUUCGUAUUUAACUGUCAGAGGUGAAAUUCUUAGAUUUGUUAAAGACGAACUACUGCGAAAGCAUUUGCCAAGGAUGUUUUCAUUAAUCAAGAACGACAGUAGGGGGUUUGAAGACGAUUAGAUACCGUCGUAAUCUCUACCAUAAACUAUGCCGACUAGAGAUAGGGAAAUGCCUACCUUGGCUUCUCCUGCACCUCAUGAGAAAUCAAAGUCUCUGGGUUCUGGGGGGAGUAUGGUCGCAAGGCUGAAACUUAAAGGAAUUGACGGAAGGGCACCACCAGGCGUGGAGCCUGCGGCUUAAUUUGACUCAACACGGGGAAACUCA